GAUGAACGCUGGCGGCGUGCCUAACACAUGCAAGUCGAACGAAGCUUGACGGAUGAUUUCUUCGGAAUGAAACCAGAUAUGACUUAGUGGCGGACGGGUGAGUAACACGUGAGCAACCUGCCUUUCAGAGGGGGAUAACGGCUGGAAACGGUCGCUAAUACCGCAUGAUGUGUUCGGAUGGCAUCAUCUGAACAUCAAAGAUUUAUCGCUGAAAGAUGGGCUCGCGUCUGAUUAGAUAGUUGGUGGGGUAACGGCCUACCAAGUCUACGAUCAGUAGCCGGACUGAGAGGUUGAACGGCCACAUUGGGACUGAGAUACGGCCCAGACCCCUACGGGAGGCAGCAGUGGGGAAUAUUGCACAAUGGGGGAAACCCUGAUGCAGCAACGCCGCGUGAAGGAUGACGGUUUUCGGAUUGUAAACUUCUUUUCUUAGUGACGAAGACAGUGACGGUAGCUAAGGAAUAAGCAUCGGCUAACUACGUG
rnacentral:rRNA from 1 species